rnacentral:lncRNA from 1 species
CUUGAGAGGAAGACGAGGCUCUCACCCCUCUAGACUUCCUCCAGCGUCAGUUUUCCUCGUAUUUCACAUAGUUUCUCUCACUUUCUCUGUCUCUCUCCGAACUUCUCACUCCAUGUGACAAGAAGACGACGUUGGGAGUGUGACUGCACUCUGACUCUCGCAGUGAUGGCGGAGAUGCUGGCUGUGUCCUUUCUGACUGCUUUCAUCAUGGCUGUCGAUGCCUCCCCAAGGAUGAACACGACCACCGCCAUGCUCCAGUUCAACUUGUCCACUUCCCCCUCCCUGAGUUCCAUCCCAAUUACACUCCCAAACUGCCUCCCUCUGGUGUCACCCCCCAUCCUGGGGGUCAUCCAGGUGACAGCAGGGUCCACGCCCUGCUCAGGAGUAGUGUACCUGCAGCUGGGCCACCUUCACCCGCUGCCUCUGUGCAACAACAGUAUCACCAAACUUAACAAGCAGGAGGUGUGCAAGAGCUGGCGCUGUGGCAGUUUCCAGACCUGGAAGGUGCUGCAGCAGAACAUGCUGGGAUAUUGGAUCGCUAACGGAACUGUGAUGAAUACUACGUGCCAGAUAACAGAGAUCCAUUGUGAAGCUGGCUCUGUCGACAAAGAGAUGUCGGCAUACAGGACAGCGACGGCCCUGCUGUGCACCCUCCUCCUGCUACUGCUCCUCGCCAUUUUCGGACCUGCUACCUACAAGACUGUGAUGCAGAGAAAGUUGGAGAAGAGGAAGGACAGGUGGAUUGGGCCCAUGCAGAGUCAGAGUGUGUCCUUUCAUAGAGUGCAAGCUGGAAUUCACCCAAACAGCGAUACCGACAAGAGACAGUCUUCAAUUGGCUUGGAAAGAUUAAUGGUCAACAGCAGCAGGGAACCGUCUUCCAACCGGAACAGCAACUGCGACUCGUACAACUAACCCUUCCCCAGGCACCUUCUCCCGUGGCGCUCUAUAACAAUAUGGGUGCGAUAAUUACGGUCCAGGAACUGAUCUCUUCACUUCACCUGUGCUCUGAUUCCUUGUACAACUGAAUAAACUGUCUUAAGACUGUGAAACGAACUUGUGU